rnacentral:rRNA from 1 species
AGCCNUGCAUGCCUAGAAGAAAAAUUGGCGCCCUACUGGUGCGCGGGCCCUCCCAGGCCCGUUAGUGCCGACCGGGAUUGUCAAGGAAUCAGCGAACGGCUCCGCAUAUCUGUUGUCACCUAUCGUGGUAAAUAUGGCGUGGAUAGAGCACGGAAAAGCUGUGUAUAACACAGAACAGUGGGGUCACCGCUGCCCGUUGGCAUGGGCAGUGGGGCUAAGUGGGCCCAUACGUAUGGGCCCCACCUCAUGAACGGCUCUUAAAGUAGCCCAGGGACUAAAGACCCCUGGGCGAAACAGAGGCCUCUGCCUCGGACAUGUCUACCGACUGCCUUGACCGGGGUUGGUCUUGUCUGAACGCGGCAGAGCCCAUCCACAAGCGCACGAUGGACUUCAGACCUAUCAGCUAGACGGUAGGGUAUUGGCCUACCGUGGCGAUGACGGGUACAGAGGAUUAGGGUUUGAUCCUGGAGAGGUAGCCUGAGAAAUCGCUCCCACUUCUAAGGAAGGCAGCAGGCGCGUAACGUUCCCAAUGCUAGUACCCCUAGUGAGGACGUAAUGGGACAUAACAAUACCCCUUAUUGAUAGUGGGUAAUUGACAAUGGGGCGGGCAUAAAACCCCUGCCGAGAAGCGACUGGAG